CUUUUCAUUCCCGUUGUCAUGGAGGUAGGCUCUCUAGGAAUCUGGGAGUAGUAGCGGGGGGGGCAAGAGCAAAUAAAGAGCUCGAGCUUCUGUGGUCUCUGGGGAGAUGUUCCCGGGAAGCCUGGCUAGAGGGCGGAGGGCAGCUGUUGAGAUGGCGUGGCUUCCCGGCUCCUGCGCCCGCGUGGCUUUCGCGGCGGUCGCUGCGGCCCGGCAUUGGACAGCCUGGCAGGGCAGCGCGGGGCCGAAUCUGGCUGCCGUGGCAGAGGCUCAUGGAUCACUCCUUUGUGGUAGGGCCACAUCUGCCAGAGCCUGGAGUCUGCGAAGGCCGGGACCCGGUUCCCCGGCCCGCCGUGGGGAGUGUGCAAACCCGAGAGAACUGGGUUGCAAAUUCGUGAAGAAUCAGCAGCAUGUUUGGCAGCUGAGUAUUGGAGCCAGGAGCCUGCCAUGAGGUUUUGAGAACAGGGUGCUGUUUUAGAGCUGGCAGCAGCAUCUCAGCCCAAGAGAAGGUAAGCCUUGAGCUGGCCAAUGAUCCCCCAACCCCAUAGUGGAAUGAAUAAACAGCUGA
rnacentral:antisense_RNA from 1 species